AUUGAACGCUGGCGGCAGGCCUAACACAUGCAAGUCGAGCGGAUGAUGGGAGCUUGCUCCUGGAUUCAGCGGCGGACGGGUGAGUAAUGCCUAGGAAUCUGCCUGGUAGUGGGGGACAACGUUUCGAAAGGAACGCUAAUACCGCAUACGUCCUACGGGCGAAAGCAGGGGACCUUCGGGCCUUGCGCUAUCAGAUGAGCCUAGGUCGGAUUAGCUUGUUGGUGAGGUAAUGGCUCACCAAGGCGACGAUCCGUAACUGGUCUGAGAGGAUGAUCAGUCACACUGGAACUGAGACACGGUCCAGACUCCUACGGGAGGCAGCAGUAGGGAAUAUUGGACAAUGGGCGAAAGCCUGAUCCAGCCAUGCCGCGUGUGUGAAGAAGGUCUUCGGAUUGUAAAGCACUUUAAGUUGGGAGGAAGGGUUGUAGAUUAAUACUCUGCAAUUUUGACGUUACCGACAGAAUAAGCACCGGCUAACUCUGUGCCAGCCGCCGCGGUAACAC
rnacentral:rRNA from 1 species